AUGACAUUUAAUAGUUCUCAUACAUAUUUUCUUGUCCCUUCUCAUUCUCAGAGACAGCGUUGCCAGUCUGAAAAUGACACAACUAAGCCAAGUUGGGGCUCCAGUCAACAGAGAAUGCUCAAACUGAAGGUGGUGCAGUAGUCUGGACAAAGAUUCAUCAUACCCAGAGUGUGCAGUAUUCACCAAAGUUUCAGUAUCUCACACCAAGAUAUCAUCCAUGCAGUUGCAGCAUUCUUCAUAUCAGAGACAACUUUGCCAGUCUGAAAAUGAGACAACUAAGCCAAGUAGAGGCUCCAGUCAACAGAGAAUGCAUAAACUGGAAGUGGUGCAACAGUAUGGGCCAUGAUUCAUAAUACCCAGACUGUGCUGUAUUCCCAAAAGCUUCAGUAUCUUACACCAAGAUAUCAUCCAUGCAGUUGCAGCAUUCUUCAUAUAAGAGACAACGUUGCCAGUGUGUGACAGCUAAGCCAAGUUGAGACUCCAGUCAAUAGAAGAUGCUUAAACUGGAAGUGGUGCAGUAGUCUGGGUGAGGAUUCAUCAUACCCAGAGUGUGCUGUAUUCCCCUAAGUCUCUCACACCAAGAUAUCAUUCAUGCAGCAUUCCUCAUAUAAGUCUGUGAAUAAGACAACUAAGCCAGGCUGAUGCUACAAUGAACAACAGAUGUCUAAACCGGAACAGGUGCUCUCAUGUGGACAAUGACUCAUUAUAGCCAAAUUGAACUGUAAUCGCGAAGGCUAACUCACACUACAUCGACCUAUGCAUGGACAAGUAUUCCACUUACUUCACUUUAAUUUCCUCUUGGAUGCAUCCUUUGCACUUGGACUAUUGGACUAUUACUCUAUGACAACUCCCAACUCUACUACUGUAUUCAAGCUGGCAUGCUAACAAUACAUCUGUUUUAUGUACACUAUAUAAUAAUGUUUAAUCAUACCUGUUAUUGUUUUUAUGGAUUUAAUUUUGCUACUGUCC